GGCUCAGGCAGGACUCACAGCAGUUUACGAUGUGGCAAGACAGAGGUAAGGUCAGCUAAGAACAACAGAACGUAGAAAAUUCUUGUGGCUUAUGGCCACUUCUUCCCCCGGAAGGUUGAAAAAGUGAUAAAGGAGAACCAUUAUUCUGUCCUGAAUUUUGAUCCGUUGGGAAAAACGAGUUAAGAUGAAAAGAGCAAGGAGGCGGAAAGGAGCAGCUUAAACUUUGGAGAAAAUGGGGAGGAAGAGCAGCAGCUCAGUCAGACACGGACUUCAGCAUUAGUGGAGUGGAUUCCUAGAGAUCAGAGAAAACACAGAAGUAGGAAGACUGGAGCUCACUGGCCUGAGAACCUAAGAUCCACCCAAGAGACGAGUUCAUCUGAGCACCUGGCAGAUCUAAAUGAGAUGGGCAGGUUUACUAGACCAAGAGUCAAUCAGGAAUUUGAAGACACUGUGAAUCUGGGUGUCAUGAUGCAGCUGACAGUGUUUGUUAGGAUAUCCUUAUGGAGAAAUACAGGAUGUGGUCUAGCAGCAAAGAGAUUCAUCUGGCAUCCUAAUUAGCCAGACAAUCCGACGCAAAGGAUGCUGGGGAAUGGUCCAUAUAAACCACCUGGCUGGGGACCUGGAGGAUAGAGUUCAAGGAAACAUCAUCCAUAUCAUCCUGCUCCACAAGGACUUGGUCAGGGUAUAGCCUUAUCUGAUAUUUUUGAUAUUUUCUUUUUUAAAGGAGAACGUGGG